rnacentral:rRNA from 1 species
UAGUCUACGCCGUAAACGAUGGAUACUAGUUGUUUGAUCUUCGGAUUGAGUGACUAAGCGAAAGUGAUAAGUAUCCCACCUGGGGAGUACGUUCGCAAGAAUGAAACUCAAAGGAAUUGACGGGGGCCCGCACAAGCGGUGGAGCAUGUGGUUUAAUUCGAUGAUACGCGAGGAACCUUACCAGGGCUUAAAUGUAGUCUGACAGCUUUAGAGAUAGAGUUUUCUUCGGACAGAUUACAAGGUGCUGCAUGGUUGUCGUCAGCUCGUGCCGUGAGGUGUCAGGUUAAGUCCUAUAACGAGCGCAACCCCUGUUGUUAGUUGCCAGCGAGUAAUGUCGGGAACUCUAGCAAGACUGCCGGUGCAAACCGCGAGGAAGGUGGGGAUGACGUCAAAUCAUCACGGCCCUUACGUCUAGGGCUACACACGUGCUACAAUGGUAAGUACAGAGCGUUGCUGCUUGGUGACAAGUUUGCUAAUCGCUAAAGCUUAUCUCAGUUCGGAUUGG